GGGAUUCAUGAGGGCCAGAUCACUCAGGGCCUUGGAUCCAAGCUCGGGCGUGUAAAUGUCAUCCUGCUGGCAGCUUGGAGUCUAGGAGGGGAGUUUUUAAACAGGCCGGUGAGCUAACUCAGCCUGCACAGAGGAGGUGACAUUGAAGGAUGUGUUAGCGGCAGUGACAACAGCUGUUGUUCAGGAAUGGGAAGGUUUUAGGAGUCACAGAAAAUGCUUCCAGAGCUGUGUACUUUUCCACUGAUAAUCUGGUGAAUAUCCCAGGGAGGUGGAUUUCAAUUUAGUGUAAGAAAAUGCUUUCGUCCAAAGGGAGCUGAAGGAAGGUGAUCACAGUCCUGCAGAGCCUAAGGCAGAAGCCCAGCUCCACCCCUCACCAGUUCACUUCAGAAGCAUGGAUGGUCCAGCACUCCUGCCAGUCCCUGAGCCCCGACACUACAGGGGCUGUGCAACUCCCAUCAUGAUCUAGUUCCAGAGCAUUUCCUUCACCCCAGAGGGAGACCCUGCACCCGGGAGCAGGCAUUCCUCACCCUCGCUGCUGCCAGCCCCUGACGGCUGCUGAACCCACUUCCUGU